UAAGCAUAUAAGUAAGUGGUGGAAGAGAAACUAAACAUGAUUCUUUAAGUAAUGGCGAAUGAACAAAGAAAUGUUCAUUUUGAAAAUUGUGGUCUGUGAUCAUGAAUUGUAAUUUCAAAAUGCAUUGCUAACAAAACUGCACAUGGUGGUUUUUUGGAAAGAACAUUACAAAGGGUGAAAAUCCCAUGUGUCAUUUGUAUGUUUUGUAUACAGUGUGCAUUUCAUGAAUCACAUUCAUUGACAAUUGAAUGUAAAUUGAAUGGUAAAUUUCAUUUAAACAUGAAUAUGUUGUUGACAACUUAUAGCAAACAAAUACCAUGAGGGAAAUAUGAAAAGGAUUUUGAAAAGAAAAUUAAAAGAGCUUGCAAUUGCUGAAUUGAUAAGCAAACAAAACACAUGUGUGUGCAAGAUUGUUGUAAUGUUUUGCAUUUUAUGCAAUCACAUUACCAUGGUUUUUGUGUGUUUUGUCAUCUCUCAAAUCUGAAAUGAUUUUUUUGAAAUGUGAUUGGAAUUUUGUUUGUUAACAAAGGAAUGCAUUUUCAAAACUUAUUGUUUGAUUUGACAAACAUGUUUGUAACAUGUCAUGUGUGUCUGUGUGUGCUUCAUUGUUGAUUCAACUAAAUGAUGAUGUGUUUGAUACAUCAAAGACAAUACAUGUUUUGUUUGACCCGUCUUGAAAC
rnacentral:rRNA from 1 species